UAGGGAAUCUUCGGCAAUGGACGAAAGUCUGACCGAGCAACGCCGCGUGAGUGAUGAAGGGUUUCGGCUCGUAAAACACUGUUGUAAGAGAAGAAUGACAUUGAGAGUAACUGUUCAAUGUGUGACGGUAUCUUACCAGAAAGGAACGGCUAAAUACGUGCCCG
rnacentral:rRNA from 1 species